rnacentral:rRNA from 1 species
UGGGGAAUAUUGCACAAUGGGGGAAACCCUGAUGCAGCGACGCCGCGUGAACGAAGAAGGUAUUCCUAUCGUAAAGUUCUGUCCUAUGGGAAGAUAAUGACAGUACCAUAGAAGAAAGCUCCGGCUAAAUACGUGCCAGCAGCCGCGGUAAUACGUAUGGAGCGAGCGUUGUCCGGAAUUAUUGGGCGUAAAGGGUACGCAGGCGGUUUAAUAAGUCGAAUGUUAAAGAUCGGGGCUCAACCCCGCAAAGCAUUGGAAACUGAUAAACUUGAGUAGUGGAGAGGAAAGUGGAAUUCCUAGUGUAGUGGUGAAAUACGUAGAUAUUAGGAGGAAUACCAGUAGCGAAGGCGACUUUCUGGACACAAACUGACGCUGAGGUACGAAAGCGUGGGGAGCAAACAGG